GGUUUUGGUUAUUUGCUAGACUUGCAAAAGGAGUGCACAGAAAACUCCAUCCAUUCAGAACAACACUACAUUUAAGCAUGCAUCACCCUAAUAGCUAUCUCAGCAGCUGAGCAGCAUACUUCAAUUCAAUUUAUACAUUGUAAUACCAAUAAAAACAUAAUUUCAAUCUUUAUAUAAAAAUUCUGGUAUCUAAUUUAAAGGA